UAUAUAUAUAUGUGUGUGUGUGUGUGUGUGUGCGCGCGCACACACACACACACACACACUUUAUG